rnacentral:rRNA from 1 species
GACGAACGCUGGCGGCGUGCUUAACACAUGCAAGUCGAACGGAAAGGCCCUGCUUUUGUGUGGUGCUCGAGUGGCGAACGGGUGAGUAACACGUGAGUAACCUGCCCUUGACUUUGGGAUAACUUCGGGAAACUGGGGCUAAUACCGGAUAGGAGCUCCUGCUGCAUGGUGGGGGUUGGAAAGUUUCGGCGGUUGGGGAUGGACUCGCGGCUUAUCAGCUUGUUGGUGGGGUAGUGGAUUACCAAGGCUUUGACGGGUAGCCGGCCUGAGAGGGUGAGCGGCCACAUUGGGACUGAUAUACGGCCGAGACUCAUACGGGGGGGAGGAGGGGGGAAUAUUGCACAAUGGGCGGAAGCCUGAUGCAGCAACGCCGCGUGCGGGAUGACGGCCUUCGGGGUGUAAACCGCUUUCGCCUGUGACGAAGCGUGAGUGACGGUAAUGGGUAAAGAAGCACCGGCUAACUACGUG